rnacentral:rRNA from 1 species
ACGGAAGGCAGCAGUGGGGAAUAUUGCACAAUGGGGGAAACCCUGAUGCAGCGACGCCGCGUGAAGGAAGAAGUAUCUCGGUAUGUAAACUUCUAUCAGCAGGGAAGAAAAUGACGGUACCUGACUAAGAAGCCCCGGCUAACUACGUGCCAGCAGCCGCGGUAAUACGUAGGGGGCAAGCGUUAUCCGGAUUUACUGGGUGUAAAGGGAGCGUAGACGGAAUUGCAAGUCUGAUGUGAAAGGCAUGGGCCCAACCCGUGGACUGCAUUGGAAACUGUAAUUCUUGAGUGCCGGAGGGGUAAGCGGAAUUCCUGGUGUAGCGGUGAAAUGCGUAGAUAUCAGGAGGAACACCGGUGGCGAAGGCGGCUUACUGGACGGCAACUGACGUUGAGGCUCGAAGGCGUGGGGAGCAAACAGGAUUAGAUACCCUGGUA